UACGGAGGGGGCUAGCGUUGUUCGGAAUUACUGGGCGUAAAGCGCACGUAGGCGGAUCAGCAAGUUAGGGGUGAAAUCCCGGGGCUCAACCCCGGAACUGCCUUUAAGACUGUUGGUCUGGAGUCCGAGAGAGGUGAGUGGAAUUCCGAGUGUAGAGGUGAAAUUCGUAGAUAUUCGGAGGAACACCAGUGGCGAAGGCGGCUCACUGGCUCGGUACUGACGCUGAGGCGCGAAAGCGUGGGGAGCAAACGGG
rnacentral:rRNA from 1 species